rnacentral:rRNA from 1 species
GACGAACGCUGGCGGCGUGCCUAAUACAUGCAAGUCGAGCGAGCGGAACCAACAGAUUUACUUCGGUAAUGACGUUGGGACAGCGAGCGGCGGAUGGGUGAGUAACACGUGGGGAACCUGCCCCUAAGUCUGGGAUACCAUUUGGAAACAGGUGCUAAUACCGGAUAAGAAAGCAGAUCGCAUGAUCAGCUUUUAAAAGGCGGCGUAAGCUGUCGCUAAGGGAUGGCCCCGCGGUGCAUUAGCUAGUUGGUAAGGUAACGGCUUACCAAGGCAACGAUGCAUAGCCGAGUUGAGAGACUGAUCGGCCACAUUGGGACUGAGACACGGCCCAAACUCCUACGGGAGGCAGCAGUAGGGAAUCUUCCACAAUGGACGCAAGUCUGAUGGAGCAACGCCGCGUGAGUGAAGAAGGUUUUCGGAUCGUAAAGCUCUGUUGUUGGUGAAGAAGGAUAGAGGUAGUAACUGGCCUUUAUUUGACGGUAAUCAACCAGAAAGUCACGGCUAACUACGUG